UACGAAGGGGGCUAGCGUUGCUCGGAAUGACUGGGCGUAAAGGGCGCGUAGGCGGAUGGCUUUGUCGGGCGUGAAAUUCCAGGGCUUAACCUUGGGGCUGCGUUCGAGACGGGUUGUCUUGAGUGGGGAAGAGGGUCGUGGAAUUCCCAGUGUAGAGGUGAAAUUCGUAGAUAUUCGGAAGGACACCAGUGGCGAAGGCGACUCGCUGGACAAGUAUUGACGCUGAGGUGCGAAAGCGUGGGGAGCAAACAGG
rnacentral:rRNA from 1 species